GACGAACGCUGGCGGCGUGCUUAACACAUGCAAGUCGAACGGAAAGGCCCUGCUUUUGUGGGGUGCUCGAGUGGCGAACGGGUGAGUAACACGUGAGUAACCUGCCCUUGACUUUGGGAUAACUUCAGGAAACUGGGGCUAAUACCGGAUAGGAGCUCCUGCUGCAUGGUGGGGGUUGGAAAGUUUCGGCGGUUGGGGAUGGACUCGCGGCUUAUCAGCUUGUUGGUGGGGUAGUGGCUUACUAAGGCUUUGACGGGUAGCCGGCCUGAGAGGGUGACCGGCCACAUUGGGGCUGAGAUACGGCCCAGACUCCUACGGGAGGCAGCAGUGGGGAAUAUUGCACAAUGGGCGGAAGCCUGAUGCAGCAACGCCGCGUGCGGGAUGACGGCCUUCGGGUUGUAAACCGCUUUCGCCUGUGACGAAGCGUGAGUGACGGUAAUGGGUAAAGAAGCACCGGCUAACUACGUG
rnacentral:rRNA from 1 species